AUUGAACGCUGGCGGCAGGCCUAACACAUGCAAGUCGAACGGGCUGGCGGACGGGUGCGUAAUGUCUGGGAAACUGCCUGAUGGAGGGGGAUCACCACUGGAAACGGUAGCUAAUACCGCAUCCCCGCGGAUGCCCACAGAUGGGAUUAGCUAGUAGGUGGGGUAAAGGCGCACCAAGGCGACGCUCCGUAACUGGUCUGAGAGGAUGAUCAGUCACACUGGAACUGAGACACGGUCCAGACUCCUACGGGAGGCAGCAGUGGGGAAUAUUGGACAAUGGGCGAAAGCCUGAUCCAGCCAUGCCGCGUGUGUGAAGAAGGUCUUCGGAUUGUAAAGCACUUUAAGUUGGGAGGCGUUACCAACAGAAUAAGCACCGGCUAACUUCGUGCCAGCAGCCGCGGUAAUAC
rnacentral:rRNA from 1 species